GUUCCUUCUCUCUCCGUGUGGUCGCGUGCAUUUUCUCCACAUUUUUUAAUCAACGUCACACGUUUAGAGUAUUUGGCUGCUGCUAUAAAUUUAUACGUGAUGAUAAUAAGCCACUUCGUUGAUCUAUUAUUUGUGAUGGCCGGGUCGUUUUUGAAAAAGAGCUAAUUAGCUCAGUGGGCGUUUCCUGAUAAAGUAAAAAAAAUGUUAAAGUUGUACUUUAACUCACGGGACAGCAACCUGCGGCUCUUUAAGGACUGCAGUACGGCUAUUGAAAUGAAAAAAAAAUGUUAUUCUUGUUAUGUUGAUUGCUGACAGCUGACCAUGGAAGUCCAGUUUACAAUGGAAGUCCAGUUUAUGAUGAGCACAGUUCGGCAACCUGGACUCACCAUCUCAGCCCAUUAAGGAUUGCUGCUUCGUCACAUUUUUUAUUAUGGACUCACCAUUUCGUAUGCUCCACGUGUCAUUGCGGCUCUUCAAAUAUUUCGGUUUUAUUUUAUUACCGAAUUCGAAUAAAAUGUAUCUUUUUGUUAUUUUGGUUGCUGACCCUGGUUUAACGGAACAAUGGGGGUUCCCUUUGCCGGGAUGACUCACGCACAGUCCCUUUCAGCUGCAUUGUGGAAUAGCUAACGUCCCCUUUUACGUUGCUCCGUUGACAGAUGAAAUUGCGCAAAAGAAUCCGCGCAGUCAUUAUCUUCGGAGUAAUAAUCGAUUUAUUUGAUCUGACGUUACAAUUCAGUCCGAGGACGGCUCAUUCUGCGCCACAAAGAAGCAAUCUUCACUGGAAUUGUUCCAUCCAUGGAGCUUCACAAAUCUUCCUCUUUAGAGAACUGGAGGAAAUGGCAAGCUGCUUUACGGUGGGCCAAAACACCUGUUCGUCAGUGACAGAUAGUCUCCAACUGGACGUAAUUGACUGGGAAGUGCCUCGGGGCCUGAUCUUGCAAGACGGAAACGAGACCGGGCCCUACACUGUGAAGGUGGAGACGCCAAACGGCGAUUCAAAGACCUGCCCACUAUCGAAUUCAGCUGAGCCCAGCGACGCUUCUCAAUCUCAGAUGAAAAGCGUGCCAAGGCUUCUCUUCCACACCUCGUCUGCACCUGAGGCUUCAGCGUCGCAGCCGACCCUCCACAGUCGAGUCACUACUGCAGCCGUGGUGUCUCUUUCCUUAGUUUUCCUUCUCGUCAUCUUCUGUAUAAUCAUCAUUUACAAAUGUUCAAGAUCAAGAUUAUGCAGUGGCCCACUCCCCAUUCCCCCAAGCGGCCUUAACCCCCACCUGGCCACACGCUACCUACUACCCGCACCCCCCAGUUGCCACCCACUAACCCCCACCGACCACCUGCUAGCCCCACCCCCCACUAGCCUCCACCCACCAUUGGCCACCCACUUACACCCACCGGCCACC